AAUGAACGUUGGCGGCGUGGAUUAGGCAUGCAAGUCGAGCGAGAAGUCUGUGAAUGAUCCUUCGGGUGAAUGAUCAGAUGGAAAGCGGCAGACGGCGUAGUUAUGAAUAGGUUACGUACCCUCAGGACGGGAAUAGCCACGGGAAACUGUGGGUAAUGCCCGAUAAUGUCUUCGGACCAAAUGGUGUGAUUCCGCCUGAGGAGCGGCUUAUUUGAUAUUAGCUUGUUGGUGGGGUAAUGGCCUACCAAGGCUGCGAUGUCUAGGGGGUGUGAGAGCAUGGCCCCCACGACCGGGACUGAGACACUGCCCGGACAUCUACGGAUGGCUGCAGUCGAGAAUCUUCCGCAAUGGACGCAAGUCCGACGGAGCGACGCCGCGUGCGGGACGAAGGCCCUUGGGUUGUAAACCGCUGUCAGAGGGGAUGAAAUGCAGGUGGGCUAUCCCAUCUGUUUGACAAAGCCUCAGAGGAAGCACAGGCUAAGUACG
rnacentral:rRNA from 1 species